GUAGGGAAUAUUGGGCAAUGGAGGCAACUCUGACCCAGCCAUGCCGCGUGCAGGAUGACGGCCCUCUGGGUUGUAAACUGCUUUUAUACGGGAAGAAAAAAUACUACGUGUAGUAUACUGACGGUACCGUAAGAAUAAGGAUCGGCUAACUCCGUGCCAGCAGCCGCGGUAAUACGGAGGAUCCAAGCGUUGUCCGGAUUUAUUGGGUUUAAAGGGUUCGUAGGUGGUUCUUUAAGUCAGUGGUGAAAGCCUGCAGCUUAACUGUAGAAUUGCCAUUGAAACUAAAGAUCUUGAAUGUGGGUAAAGUAGGCGGAAUAUAUCAUGUAGCGGUGAAAUGCUUAGAUAUGAUACAGAACACCGAUAGCGAAGGCAGCUUGCUGAACCAUUAUUGACGCUGAGGCACGAAAGCGUGGGGAGCGAACAGGAUUAGAUACCCGAGUAGUCC
rnacentral:rRNA from 1 species